rnacentral:rRNA from 1 species
AUACGUAGGGGGCGAGCGUUGUCCGGAAUGAUUGGGCGUAAAGGGCGCGUAGGCGGCCCGGUAAGUCUGGAGUGAAAGUCCUGUUUUUAAGAUGGGAAUUGCUUUGGAUACUGUCGGGCUUGAGUGCAGGAGAGGUAAGUGGAAUUCCCAGUGUAGCGGUGAAGUGCGUAGAGAUUGGGAGGAACACCAGUGGCGAAGGCGACUUACUGGACUGUAACUGACGCUGAGGCGCGAAAGUGUGGGGAGCAAACAGGAUUAGAUACCCUGGUAGUCCACAUUGUAAACGAUGAUUACUAGGUGUGGGGGGACUGACCCCUUCCGUGCCGCAGUUAACACAAUAAGUAAUCCACCUGGGGAGUACGGCCGCAAGGUUGAAACUCAAAUGAAUUGACGGGG